GUACCUGCUUCGGCAGUACAUAUACUAAAAUUGGAACGAUACAGAGAAGAUUAGCAUGGCCCCUGCACAAGGAUGACACGCAAAAUCGUGAAGCGUUCCUUAUUUUU
rnacentral:snRNA from 1 species